rnacentral:rRNA from 1 species
GUAGUCCACGCCCUAAACUAUGGAUACUAGUCGUCGGGAUUCCCAAUAGUCUCGGUGACGUAGCUAACGCAAUAAGUAUCCCGCCUGGGAAGUACGGUCGCAAGAUUAAAACUCAAAGAAAUUGACGGGGGCCCGCACAAGCGGUGGAAUAUGUGGUUUAAUUCGAUGCUACGCGAAAAACCUUACCUAGACUUGACAUCCUGCGCUACCCUAGGAAACUAGGGGUUCCCUCACGGGACGCAGAGACAGGUGCUGCAUGGCUGUCGUCAGCUCGUGUUGUGAGAUGUUGGGUUAAGUCCCGCAACGAGCGCAACCCUCGCCACUAGUUACCAUCAUUAAGUUGGGCACUCUAGUGGGACCGCUUGGCUAUAAGCCAGA